GAUGAAGAACGCAGCGAACUGCGAUAAGUAAUGUGAAUUGCAGAAUUCAGUGAAUCAUCGAGUCUUUGAACGCACAUUGCGCCCCCUGGCAUUCCGGGGGGCAUGCCUGUCCGAGCGUCAUUGCUGCCCUUCAAGCCCGGCUUGUGUGUUGGGUCGUCGUCCCCCCCGGGGGACGGGCCCGAAAGGCAGCGGCGGCACCGCGUCCGGUCCUCGAGCGUAUGGGGCUUUGUCACCCGCUCGAUUAGGGCCGGCCGGGCGCCAGCCGGCGUCUCCAACCUUCUAUUUUCCCAGGUUGACCUCGGAUCAGGUAGGGAUACCCGCUGAACUUAAGCAUAUCAAUAAGCGGAGGA
rnacentral:misc_RNA from 1 species